ACGGUCCUAAGGUAGCGAAAUUCCUUGUCAGGUAAGUUCUGACCCGCACGAAAGGCGUAAUGAUUUGGGCACUGUCUCGACAAUGUACCCGGCGAAAUUGUAGUACUAGUGAAGAUGCUAGUUACCUGCGACAAGACAGAAAGACCCCAUGGAGCUUUACUGUAGCUUGAUACUGGGUUUUGGUAGUUUAUGUACAGGAUAGGUGGGAGACUAUGAAUACAGGGCGUCAGCUUUGUAGGAGUCAAUGUUGGGAUACCACCCUUAAAUUACUGAAAUUCUAACUAUUAGUCAUAAACUGGCUAGAGGACAAUGUCAGGUGGGCAGUUUGACUGGGGCGGUCGCCUCCUAAAGAGUAACGGAGGCGCCCAAAGGUUUCCUCAGCGCGGACAGAAAUCGCGCGAAAGAGUGUAAAGGCAGAAGGAAGCUUAACUGAAAGACAGACAUGUCGAGCAGAUACGAAAGUAGGGCUUAGUGAUCCGGUGGAAUUGAAUGGAAAAGCCAUCGCUCAACGGACAAAAGUUACCCUGGGGAUAACAGGCUUAUCUCCCCCAAGAGUUCACAUCGACGGGGAGGUUUGGCACCUCGAUGUCGGCUCAUCGCAUCCUGGGGCUGAAGUAGGUCCCAAGGGUUGGGCUGUUCGCCCAUUAAAGCGGUACGCGAGCUGGGUUCAGAACGUCGUGAGACAGUUCGGUCCUUAUCUGUCGCAGGCGCAGGAUAUUUGAAGGGAGCUGUCCUUAGUACGAGAGGACCAGGAUGGACAUACCGAUGGUGUAUCAGUUGUCACACCAGUGGCACGGCUGAGUAGCUAAGUAUGGAAGGGAUAAACGCUGAAAGCAUCUAAGUGUGAAGCCCACCCUAAGAUAAGAUAUCCCAUAUCGAAAGAUAGUAAGAUUCCAGGAAGACGACCUGGUAGAUAGGCUGGAGGUGGAAGUGUAGUGAUACAUGUAGCUAACCAGUACUAAUAGAUCGAGGGCUUAACCAC
rnacentral:rRNA from 1 species